rnacentral:rRNA from 1 species
AUGACAUCAAUUACCUCAGAAGCGAGUCUGAUGAUUUCUGCAGCCAUCCGAGAAGAUGGCGAUCGUCCAUCGUGGAGUGGCAACCUCGUGCAUAAGGCCUGGAUCACUAUGGUGCGUGACUUGGCUUAUGAUAUCGAAGACCGCUUCACACACCGUGUGACGCUCAAGCCCGGCGUGUCAUGGAUCGGUAAGAAACUUCACCGGGUGAAGACGAGGAAUGCUCGUAACAAGUUUGCUGCAGCGAUCCGUCGUCUCAGGAAGAAAUCCGAGGACGCAUCCAAGCUGAGAACAAGCUACAUCACCGGUGAGUAUGCUGGCGGAUCCAGCACUUUGGAGUCAGGGGAACCAUAUCUGAUGAGAGGGACAGCUCGGUGGCUGCCGUUGGCAUGGACGUGCCCCGGGACGAGCUCAUAG